ensembl:lncRNA
AUAGCUCUUGAGGUUGUCAGUAGGACUUAAAGGAAUGUGAGAGGAAAAUUAUUAAAGCUGGAGGGAAAGCCCUUGUUAGUAAAAGUGUUGCCCGUGAUAAUAUAGAAAUAGAAAACAUACCCAGUGAACUGGUGGAUUGGUGUGGAGUUUUCAGGCUAAAGGUUGGAAGUCUUACCUGGCUUCUUUUAGCAACAUAUUAUACAAUACAGAUAAUGAUAAGCUAUAGGAGAAAUUACUCAGUUUUCAAGAAAAAUUUAGAGGAAAUAUAAAGGAGUCAGGACUAGCUGGGUUGGAAGUUAAAAUCUUUUUCUGAUGAUCAGUCUCUCCCAGCAGAAUAUUCCCAAAGUGAAAAAAGGCCUCGGGACAAAAGUCAAAUUCACAGCCCUCUCCAAAACCAUCUCGUAAAGAUGAAGCUAAGGAUUUGACUGUAAAAUCCUUUGUUAAGAACCCAGAAGGACUUAAGGUGGUACCUUCUGAGUCCUUGCAAAAAGAAAAGCUUAAAGAUCCUUUCCAUUAAACAAUAGGAAUUCUAAGACUAUUAAGGGUAUUAAUCCACAGCAGCUUUACAGGGAGCCCCAGGUAGGUAAGAUUUGUCGAUGUGGCUUUUUUCGAAUGAAAUAAACCCCAAUAAGGGCAAUAAGAAAGAGCUUUUAAGAAAAUUGUAUGUGUAGAAAUACUACCAGCUUGGACUAUAGGGAACAGAGAUGGCUUCAAAAUGAAAAGAAGCUGUUAGACCCUGGAACUUCUACAGGCAGGAAGCAGGCUCAUCAAACUACUGAACUUAAAGUGUGGGCUGUAUUUUAUGAAAUAGGAAGGGUAACUCAGAGGAUGGAGCCAAGAGCUGAGGAGAAUCAUUGCAGGCAGUAAAGUGAACCCUAAUCAAGAAAUUGGCCACAUGUGUGCUGUUGGAUUUGCUGUGGCCCAGAGACUGCUCCAUGCCUACUGUUGUCUCCCUUUUUGAUUGGGAGUGUUUAUAGUGAUUAUCCUAUGCCCACCCCACCAUGGAUAUUGGAUGGGUAGGGGACAGAUAAUUUGUCUCUCUAGUUCACAGGUUUUCACACCUAGAGCAAUGGUACUUUUUCUCUAGGAAAAUGUACUUUUCUCAUUGCUUUUCUUUCUUCCUUUUUUUUUUGUAACUGUAAAUCACAUAACAAAACAACAAAAAUAUAUUUGAAUGUUGCUUGAAUGACUGUAAAUAAGCACAAAAAUUCUCCUUCCUCCUGAAUCUCAUAUGCUAAUAUAUGCUGGUAUAUGCUAAGUCCUAACGCAGGGCCUGCCUGCUGUGAAAUUAUUUUUUGGAAAUGUUAGUUUCCUUUAGUCUUCUUUUCUCCCUGUCAGUGACAUUAUGUUUUAUCCAUGGUGUCCAGUGCCCUCAUGCUGACUUCUAGUUCACCGGGGCUCUCUACCCCUACAAGCCCUCUCCCCACCCCCCAGGCCUCUCCAUAUGCUCUAGACAUUUUCUGGCCUUUUAUCAUCAUCCAAACUCUGAACUUGCCUACCUUAUUUUUUCAGAAACUUACAGAGGGACUAGACAGUUAAUAUGAAUGAUGCUAAAGUGUAAACACAAAAAUUUUACUUGGAUGAUUGCAAUAGCAGCCUUCAGUGUUUACCCUGUGGAGUGAGCAGAAAAUCUCAAGCACUUCUGUAGGCCACCCAAGUCUGUUCUGGGUGAGGACUCUGAAGUCAAUACUCAAGCCAUGACAUUCCUGUUUUCUAAUGGAGAGUUGCAUUUGGGGGCACAUAAUACAGUGUAGAAAACUGUGCUGAAAUUUGUGCUGGCUCCUCUCCAUGUCGGGGGCCAUCUGUGAAGCUUUGGAGUCUAGGUCAAAUGUACCUCUUGUCUCCUGCUCCCCAGCAUUUUGUACAGGAUUCUAACCUAAUUAAAGUUAAUGUCCACAGCAGUGUCGAAGAGGAAAACCUGAAAGGAGGAGGAUUUUUGAAGGAAAGGAAACUGGAAAAGAGGAGGGCAGUUUUACCUGAAUUGUUUUGCCUGGAGAAAUAAAGGUGCAUAAGUACAUUACAUCUUGGGCAGCCUUGAACACCAACAGCCUUACAACUGUAGUAGGUCUGAGACUCAGCAGACUGGCCAGUGCAGGAGGCAGAAUGGGUUUGUAGCUGGCCCCAAAGUCCCUGUCCCCAGAGAACUGUCACUAUUUGACCUAUCAGGCAACUCCCUGGAAAGGCCCCAUUCUCAGGGUUUAUCUUUACUUGACCUGUUCUGUGUAAACAGCUGUAUUCCCAGGGCAUCAGUCAGAAACAAUCGUGUGACCGUUAACAUCGCAGCUGUCUAAGCCAUACCGGUUGAGGCCAACAAGAAGCUGACCAAACAACUGAAAAAGGAAACUGGUGGAUGAGCUGU